UGGGGAAUAUUGCACAAUUGGCGCAAGCCUGAUGCAGCCAUGCCGCGUGUGUGAAGAAGGCCUUCGGGUUGUAAAGCACUUUCAGCGGGGAGGAAGGCGAUAAGGUUAAUAACCUUGUCGAUUGACGUUACCCACAGAAGAAGCACCGGCUAACUCCGUGCCAGCAGCCGCGGUAAUACGGAGGGUGCAAGCGUUAAUCGGAAUUACUGGGCGUAAAGCGCACGCAGGCUGUCUGUCAAGUCGGAUGUGAAAUCCCCGGGCUCAACCUGGGAACUGCAUUCGAAACUGGCAGGCUAGAGUCUUGUAGGGAAGGGUAGAAUUCCAGGUGUAGCGGUGAGAUGCGUAGAGAACUGGAGGAAUACCGGUGGCGAAGGCGGCCCCCUGGACAAAGACUGACGCUCAGGUGCGAAAGCGUGGGGAGCGAACAGG
rnacentral:rRNA from 1 species